AUUAAUAAGUAUAGUGCUACAUUUGUAUUAUAAAUGAAUAAACUAAAAAUCUUGGUGAAAUC
rnacentral:tRNA from 1 species